rnacentral:lncRNA from 1 species
UGAGACAGAUUCUAUUAGUGUACCCAUUUUAUAGAUGAGGAAACAGAACCUUGGGAUGGGAAGUCAUUGGCCUAAGAUCACAUAGUGGAUGAGUGACAGACACAGGCUUUAAGCCAGGUCAUUCUGUCUCCAAAGCCUUAAGCAAGUCUCUAAACUUACUGCUCUAGUCUGGGUUCCCCUUAAUUAGCAGAGAAUUAGAAAGAGUUUGGGUGCAGGAUGUUUAUUUGGAGAAUGAUCUUGGAGGCAGGAUUGAAGGAGUUGGGAAGAUGGAAGAUGUCAGGAAGAGAGGCAAUGCCAACAUAAGGGUGUGUGCUACGCCUUCAGUUCUUAACUGCGAGACCUCUGGAAGGUUGGGGCAUUUAUUUGCUUGUAGCAUUUCCCCAGUGAUUAAGGACAGUUCCUGAGGGUGUUAAUUCUCCUGUCCUUUCAGUAUGUGUCCCAAGAGGGCUGAGUAUGCUCCAGAGACUUUGAAAAAGACCUUGAGUCAGAAAAGCAGAAAGAAGUUCAUGAAGUACUUUAAGACAAGGUGCUGUCAGCGUAAGUCUUAUGAACUGGACUCCACAGUAACACCUGAAAUCGCAGGUGAGCUGAGAGAUACGGUCCCGGCCAAGGAAGCUCUGCUUCACUUGCUGUGACUCAAGUUCAGUUUCAUUUCUUGCCCACCACCCCCUUGUGAGUUGGCUGUUAAGUUUUCUACCUCCCAGUGGGGAUGGACUAAGGUCAUCAAUUAUCAGCGACUCGACAAAGAACACCCAAGCAGGUGGUGACCUUCCAGCCUCCAUUUAUACAUCUGUACUUUGGGCUUCCUUUCUCCUGUGCCACACUCUGUUCAACCGAGUCUGAAUGAGGUUUCACGCAGAAGGAUGCAAGAAACCAGGUCAGGGAAAGCCCAGCCUUCACCCUCAGAACAGACGAGAAGGGAGUGAGACGGAAAUAUCACAACAGUGCUCAUCUAAAGAAGAACACACCAGGCAGACUUCCUCUAAGAUCUGUCCUCGGAAACAGGACAUCACUAUCUCUAGAAACAAAGUGCUGAUCAAGACCAGUCCUGCUGCUUCUUCAAUGGCCAAUGAAGGAGUUAUGAGAUUCAUUUAUGGAACUACACUCCCCCUUCAAAGCUCAGCUGCGGUGUGGAGCAAUGGAAAGAAGACUGGAUUCAGAGAACACCAGCUCCUUCACUCCCUUGCUAUGAUCAUGGGUAAGUUACACAAGUCCGUGAGUGAUGAGCUUCUCGCCUAG